rnacentral:rRNA from 1 species
CUUGAAGACGACGAGGUAGAUAGGGCAGAGGUGGAAGGGCAGUAAUGUCCGGAGCUGACUGUUACUAAUCGGUCGAGGGCUUGACCAAAA